GGGUUGUGAGGUUAAGCGACUAAGCGUACACGGUGGAUGCCCUGGCAGUCAGAGGCGAUGAAGGACGUGCUAAUCUGCGAUAAGCGUCGGUAAGGUGAUAUGAACCGUUAUAACCGGCGAUUUCCGAAUGGGGAAACCCAGUGUGAUUCGUCACACUAUCAUUAACUGAAUCCAUAGGUUAAUGAGGCGAACCGGGGGAACUGAAACAUCUAAGUACCCCGAGGAAAAGAAAUCAACCGAGAUUCCCCCAGUAGCGGCGAGCGAACGGGGAGCAGCCCAGAGCCUGAAUCAGUGUGUGUGUUAGUGGAAGCGUCUGGAAAGGCGCGCGAUACAGGGUGACAGCCCCGUACACAAAAAUGCACAUGCUGUGAGCUCGAUGAGUAGGGCGGGACACGUGGUAUCCUGUCUGAAUAUGGGGGGACCAUCCUCCAAGGCUAAAUACUCCUGACUGACCGAUAGUGAACCAGUACCGUGAGGGAAAGGCGAAAAGAACCCCGGCGAGGGGAGUGAAAAAGAACCUGAAACCGUGUACGUACAAGCAGUGGGAGCCUCUUUUAUGGGGUGACUGCGUACCUUUUGUAUAAUGGGUCAGCGACUUAUAUUCUGUAGCAAGGUUAACCGAAUAGGGGAGCCGAAGGGAAACCGAGUCUUAACUGGGCGUUAAGUUGCAGGGUAUAGACCCGAAACCCGGUGAUCUAGCCAUGGGCAGGUUGAAGGUUGGGUAACACUAACUGGAGGACCGAACCGACUAAUGUUGAAAAAUUAGCGGAUGACUUGUGGCUGGGGGUGAAAGGCCAAUCAAACCGGGAGAUAGCUGGUUCUCCCCGAAAGCUAUUUAGGUAGCGCCUCGUGAAUUCAUCUCCGGGGGUAGAGCACUGUUUCGGCAAGGGGGUCAUCCCGACUUACCAACCCGAUGCAAACUGCGAAUACCGGAGAAUGUUAUCACGGGAGACACACGGCGGGUGCUAACGUCCGUCGUGAAGAGGGAAACAACCCAGACCGCCAGCUAAGGUCCCAAAGUCAUGGUUAAGUGGGAAACGAUGUGGGAAGGCCCAGACAGCCAGGAUGUUGGCUUAGAAGCAGCCAUCAUUUAAAGAAAGCGUAAUAGCUCACUGGUCGAGUCGGCCUGCGCGGAAGAUGUAACGGGGCUAAACCAUGCACCGAAGCUGCGGCAGCGACACUAUGUGUUGUUGGGUAGGGGAGCGUUCUGUAAGCCUGUGAAGGUGUACUGUGAGGUAUGCUGGAGGUAUCAGAAGUGCGAAUGCUGACAUAAGUAACGAUAAAGCGGGUGAAAAGCCCGCUCGCCGGAAGACCAAGGGUUCCUGUCCAACGUUAAUCGGGGCAGGGUGAGUCGACCCCUAAGGCGAGGCCGAAAGGCGUAGUCGAUGGGAAACAGGUUAAUAUUCCUGUACUUGGUGUUACUGCGAAGGGGGGACGGAGAAGGCUAUGUUGGCCGGGCGACGGUUGUCCCGGUUUAAGCGUGUAGGCUGGUUUUCCAGGCAAAUCCGGAAAAUCAAGGCUGAGGCGUGAUGACGAGGCACUACGGUGCUGAAGCAACAAAUGCCCUGCUUCCAGGAAAAGCCUCUAAGCAUCAGGUAACAUCAAAUCGUACCCCAAACCGACACAGGUGGUCAGGUAGAGAAUACCAAGGCGCUUGAGAGAACUCGGGUGAAGGAACUAGGCAAAAUGGUGCCGUAACUUCGGGAGAAGGCACGCUGAUAUGUAGGUGAAGUCCCUCGCGGAUGGAGCUGAAAUCAGUCGAAGAUACCAGCUGGCUGCAACUGUUUAUUAAAAACACAGCACUGUGCAAACACGAAAGUGGACGUAUACGGUGUGACGCCUGCCCGGUGCCGGAAGGUUAAUUGAUGGGGUCAGCGCAAGCGAAGCUCUUGAUCGAAGCCCCGGUAAACGGCGGCCGUAACUAUAACGGUCCUAAGGUAGCGAAAUUCCUUGUCGGGUAAGUUCCGACCUGCACGAAUGGCGUAAUGAUGGCCAGGCUGUCUCCACCCGAGACUCAGUGAAAUUGAACUCGCUGUGAAGAUGCAGUGUACCCGCGGCAAGACGGAAAGACCCCGUGAACCUUUACUAUAGCUUGACACUGAACAUUGAGCCUUGAUGUGUAGGAUAGGUGGGAGGCUUAGAAGUGUGGACGCCAGUCUGCAUGGAGCCGACCUUGAAAUACCACCCUUUAAUGUUUGAUGUUCUAACGUUGACCCGUGAUCCGGGUUGCGGACAGUGUCUGGUGGGUAGUUUGACUGGGGCGGUCUCCUCCUAAAGAGUAACGGAGGAGCACGAAGGUUGGCUAAUCCUGGUCGGACAUCAGGAGGUUAGUGCAAUGGCAUAAGCCAGCUUGACUGCGAGCGUGACGGCGCGAGCAGGUGCGAAAGCAGGUCAUAGUGAUCCGGUGGUUCUGAAUGGAAGGGCCAUCGCUCAACGGAUAAAAGGUACUCCGGGGAUAACAGGCUGAUACCGCCCAAGAGUUCAUAUCGACGGCGGUGUUUGGCACCUCGAUGUCGGCUCAUCACAUCCUGGGGCUGAAGUAGGUCCCAAGGGUAUGGCUGUUCGCCAUUUAAAGUGGUACGCGAGCUGGGUUUAGAACGUCGUGAGACAGUUCGGUCCCUAUCUGCCGUGGGCGCUGGAGAACUGAGGGGGGCUGCUCCUAGUACGAGAGGACCGGAGUGGACGCAUCACUGGUGUUCGGGUUGUCAUGCCAAUGGCACUGCCCGGUAGCUAAAUGCGGAAGAGAUAAGUGCUGAAAGCAUCUAAGCACGAAACUUGCCCCGAGAUGAGUUCUCCCUGA
rnacentral:rRNA from 1 species